rnacentral:rRNA from 1 species
CCUACGGGAGGCAGCAGUAGGGAAUCUUUCACAAUGUGCGAAAGCCUGAUGGAGCAACGCCGCGUGCAGGAUGAAGGCCUUCGGGUUGUAAACUGCUUUUAUAAGCGAGGAAUAUGAUGGUAACUUAUGAAUAAGUAUCGGCUAACUACGUGCCAGCAGCCGCGGUCAUACGUAGGAUCCGAGAAUUAUCCGGAGUGACUGGGUGUAAAGAGUUGCGUAUGUGGCAUAAUAAGUAGCUAGUGAAAUCUGGUGGCUCAACCAUUCAGACUAUUAGCUAAACUGUUCAGCUCGAGACCGUUAGGGGUAACUGGAAUUUCUAGUGUAGGAGUGAAAUCCGUAGAUAUUAGAAGGAACACCAAUAGCGUAGGCAGGUUGCUGGGACGGUUCUGACACUAAGGCACGAAAGCGUAGGGAGCAAACGGGAUUAGAUACCCCUGUAGUC